AUUGAACGCUGGCGGCAUGCUUUACACAUGCAAGUCGAACGGCAGCGCGGGCUUCGGCCUGGCGGCGAGUGGCGAACGGGUGAGUAAUACAUCGGAACGUGCCCAGUAGUGGGGGAUAGCUCGGCGAAAGCCGGAUUAAUACCGCAUACGACCUGAGGGUGAAAGCGGGGGAUCUUCGGACCUCGCGCUAUUGGAGCGGCCGAUGGCAGAUUAGCUAGUUGGUGGGGUAAAGGCCUACCAAGGCGACGAUCUGUAGCUGGUCUGAGAGGACGACCAGCCACACUGGGACUGAGACACGGCCCAGACUCCUACGGGGGGCAGCAGUGGGGAAUUUUGGACAAUGGGCGAAAGCCUGAUCCAGCAAUGCCGCGUGUGUGAUGAAGGCCUUCGGGUUGUAAAGCACUUUUGGCGGGAACGAAAAGGACCGUGCCAAUACCACGGUUCGAUGACGGUACCCGCAGAAUAAGCACCGGCUAACUACGUG
rnacentral:rRNA from 1 species